rnacentral:rRNA from 2 species
UGCUGACGAGCGGCGGACGGGUGAGUAAUGCAUAGGAAUUUACCCGGUAGUGGGGGAUAACCUGGGGAAACCCAGGCUAAUACCGCAUACGUCCUACGGGAGAAAGGGGGCUUCGGCUCCCGCUAUUGGAUGAGCCUAUGUCGGAUUAGCUGGUUGGUGAGGUAAUGGCUCACCAAGGCGACGAUCCGUAGCUGGUCUGAGAGGAUGAUCAGCCACAUCGGGACUGAGACACGGCCCGAACUCCUACGGGAGGCAGCAGUGGGGAAUAUUGGACAAUGGGGGCAACCCUGAUCCAGCCAUGCCGCGUGUGUGAAGAAGGCCCUCGGGUUGUAAAGCACUUUCAGCGAGGAAGAACGCCUGUCGGUUAAUACCCGGCAGGAGAGACAUCACUCGCAGAAGAAGCACCGGCUAACUCCGUGCCAGCAGCCGCGGUAAUACGGAGGGUGCAAGCGUUAAUCGGAAUUACUGGGCGUAAAGCGCGCGUAGGUGGCUUGAUAAGCCGGUUGUGAAAGCCCCGGGCUCAACCUGGGAACGGCAUCCGGAACUAUGAGGCUAGAGUGCAGGAGAGGAAGGUAGAAUUCCCGGUGUAGCGGUGAAAUGCGUAGAGAUCGGGAGGAAUACCAGUGGCGAAGGCGGCCUUCUGGACUGACACUGACACUGAGGUGCGAAAGCGUGGGUAGCAAACAGGAUUAGAUACCCUGGUAGUCCACGCCGUAAACGAUGUCGACCAGCCGUUGGGUGCCUAGCGCACUUUGUGGCGAAGUUAACGCGAUAAGUCGACCGCCUGGGGAGUACGGCCG